rnacentral:rRNA from 1 species
GACGAACGCUGGCGGCGUGGAUUAGGCAUGCAAGUCGAACGGUAUCAUCCUUUCGGGGGUGAGAGAGUGGCGAACUGGUGAGUAACACGUAGGUUAUCUACCCUCAAGACGGGGACAACCCAGGGAAACUUGGGCUAAUACCGGAUGUGAGCAACUUUUAGUUGUUUGAAAGGUGGCGUAAGCUGUCGCUUGGGGAUGAGCCUGCGUCCUAUUAGUUAGUUGGUGAGGUAACGGCUCACCUAGGCAAUGAUAGGUAGGCGGCCUUAACGGGUGGUCGCCCACACUGGGAUUGAGAUACGGCCCAGACUCCUACGGGAGGCAGCAGUCGAGAAUAGUCUACAAUGGUCGGAAGACUGAUAGUGCGACGCCGCGUGAACGAUGAAUCCCUUCGGGGUUAAAGUUCUUUUAUAUGUGAGCAGUGCUUCUUAUAUUAACAGUAUGGGGAGAGAGAUAUUAGCAUAUGAAUAAGCAACGGCUAAACUCCGUGCCAGCAGCCGCGGUAAAA